rnacentral:rRNA from 1 species
AGAGUUUGAUCCUGGCUCAGAAUGAACGCUGGCGGCAUGCCUAACACAUGCAAGUCGGCGAAGGCUUCGGCCUUAGUGGCGCACGGGUGCGUAACGCGUGGGAAUCUGCCCCUUGGUUCGGAAUAACAGCGAGAAAUUGCUGCUAAUACCGGAUAAUGACGUAAGUCCAAAGAUUUAUCGCCUAGGGAUGAGCCCGCGUAGGAUUAGCUAGUUGGUGUGGUAAAGGCGCACCAAGGCGACGAUCCUUAGCUGGUCUGAGAGGAUGAUCAGCCACACUGGGACUGAGACACGGCCCAGACUCCUACGGGAGGCAGCAGUGGGGAAUAUUGGACAAUGGGCGAAAGCCUGAUCCAGCAAUGCGGCGUGAGUGAUGAAGGCCUUAGGGUUGUAAAGCUCUUUUACCC